GGAUGUGAGGCCAAUCCGGCUGUGACAUCUGUCACCCCACUGAUCGCCAGGGUUGACUCGGCUGAUCUGGCUGGCCAGGCGGGUGUCCCCUUCCUCCCUCAAUGCUCCAUGUGCGUCCCUCCCGAAGCUGCGCACUCGAAGAGGACGACCACCCGCGAUAGAGGAGGACCGUUCCUCCUCUAUCAAGGGUAUACGAGCAGCUGUGCUCCCCUGCUAGAACCUCCAAACACGCUCUCUAAAAGCCUGGGACUUGAAGGUGAAUAACUGAGCACACCCCACACAACCAUCUGUCAGCAGUGGGUGUUUAAU
rnacentral:snRNA from 1 species